rnacentral:rRNA from 1 species
UACGUAGGGGGCUAGCGUUGUCCGGAAUCAUUGGGCGUAAAGAGCGCGUAGGCGGCUAGAUAAGUCCGGUGUGAAAGUCACAGGCUCAACCUGUGAAUGCCGCUGGAAACUGUCUGGCUAGAGUCCGGAAGGGGCGAGUGGAAUUCCUGGUGUAGCGGUGAAAUGCGCAGAUAUCAGGAGGAACACCAAUGGCGAAAGCAGGCUACUGGACCAUCACUGACGCUGAUCUGCGAAAGCUAGGGGAGCAAACAGG